UACGAACUGUGCGAACGUUAUUCGGAAUCACUGGGCUUGCAGGGUGCGUAGGCGGCGAUGCAAGUCAGGUGUGAAAGCCCACGGCUCAACCGUGGAACAGCGCUUGAAACUGCAUUGCUGGAGUGAGCUAGAGGUAUGCGGAACUUCCGGUGGAGCGGUGAAAUGUGUUGAAAUCGGAAGGAACACCAGAGGCGAAAGCGGCAUACUGGAGCUUGUCUGACGCUGAGGCACGAAAGCCAGGGGAGCAAACGGG
rnacentral:rRNA from 1 species